GACGAACGCUGGCGGCGUGCCUAAUACAUGCAAGUAGAACGCACAGUUUAUACCUUUGCUUGCUACACCAUAGACUGUGAGUUGCGAACGGGGUAGUUACGCGUCGCUAACCUGUCUGGUAGCUUGGGGUAACUAGUGGUAACGCUAGCUAAUACCUCAUGAUAUUUAUUGUUGCAUGGUAAUUAAUGGAAGGUUGCAAUUGCAUCACUGCUUGUCGGACCUGUGGUGUAUUAGCUAGUAGCUGAGGUAACGGCUCACCUAGGGGACGAUACAUAGCCGACCUGAGAGGGUGAGCGGCCACACUGGGACUGAGACACGGCCCAGACUCCUACGGGAGGCAGCAGUAGGGAAUCUUCGGCAAUGGACGAAAGUCUGAACGAGCAACGCCGCGUGAGUGAAGAAGGGUUUCGGAUCGUAAAGCGCUGUUGUAAGAGAAGAACGGGUGUGAGAGUGGAAAGUUCACACUGUGACGGUAUCUUACCAGAAAGGGACGGCUAACUACGUG
rnacentral:rRNA from 1 species